rnacentral:lncRNA from 1 species
AAUUUUUUUUAUAUGCAAGUGCUUCUUGUUUGGGUUUCAUAAUUCCAUAUUAGACUAAACCCCAGUACUCCUUGCUGUCAUGUUUAUUGCUGUUGUUUCCAGGAGACGGAGAAGCGUUUCGACCCUUUCCCCAUCGUCCACCCUUUGCACCUCUCUCCUCUUGACCAGGUGAAUGUUGCCAGCUGCUGCUCCCUGCUGCCAAAAUGCCUCGUCCUUCCUGACUUCAUGUUUGAUUCUGCUUCGGAUUUGCUGCCCGUGGAAAGUGAAGCUUGUUCAGUGGACACAGCACACAAGUCCAACAUCCUGUGAAGGGGGCAUAUUUGCCAGUGCUGCUUUGAAGAUCCUCGCAGAGCUUCUGCACAGACUUUGGUCAGUAAUAAAUAGGAAUUCCCCCGAGGGCAGGGCUCAUAGCUGCUGUUUAUGUUGACCAAUGGAACCACAGUCUGGAAACCGGAGGAGUAACGCUUUCGGGAUGGAAGCAGGUGGGUUCUGGGCUUCAAAGACCAAAAGAUAAUCUGCUGAAAAAAGUAUAAAGCCUGGCUCUAAAAUGUGCUGAACAUCUACGAGCUCCUGCUCACAAAGACACAAGGCUCAUCAUGUGGUUUGAGCCGGCCCAGGAAUGCUUUGAUGCCAUGGAUUCUCUAACUUUUGUUAGUUUAUUUGACUGAGUUUUUAUGUAUAAUAUGUAUUCCAAAUGCUAGCUCUUUAUGGAACUUAAGAGAGAUCCAGAAGAAAUAACCUUGGAGUUCAGGGCUUGUGCUAAAGCAUCAGUUGAUUCAAAGGCUCAGCUGCAAAGUCGUCCAUAGCGCAGAGGGAGAAGUGCCAGGUCAAUCGCUGGAUAAAUUGUAUCAAAAAAUUGUACUAAUGGUGAGCAUAGGAGAUUUUUCAUAUCAGACCUGUAUCUCUUAAAUGCUCUGUGUAGAAUGAAAAUGUAGAAAUAUUGAUCUAUGUUUUUUUUUUUUUUUAAGAAUGAUUUUUGGUGCUGCACAUUCCCAGCUUUUGCUCUUAGAUGCAUUUUAACAUGUCAAAUGUGUACAAACAGCCGGUUCAAUAACUAUGUAUCAAUAUUUUGCAGGGCUAAGGCUUUGAUUAAAUAAAUCAUAUUGUUUGUUAGUUGAGACA